GGCUCGCGCCCGUAGUCUGGAGAAGCAUCGCCAGGGUUGAGUCGCGGCGAGCGGGACUUGGUCACCCCGCCGAUUUAAAGACCCACAGCCAGCCGACUUCUCCAGUUACGGGAGCGAGCCCCCUUUU
rnacentral:ncRNA from 1 species